UACGUAGGGGGGCAAGCGUUGUCCGGAUUUAUUGGGCGUAAAGAGCGUGUAGGCGCCGCACAGGUCCGUUGUGAAAACUGGAGGCUUAACCUUCAGACGUCGAUGGAAACCGUGCGGCUUGAGUACGGAAGAGGGUCUCGGAAUUCCCGGUGUAGAGGUGAAAUUCGUAGAUAUCGGGAGGAACACCAGUGGCGAAGGCGGAGACCUGGGCCGAUACUGACGCUGAGGUGCGAAAGCGUGGGGGAGCAAACAGG
rnacentral:rRNA from 1 species